GUAGAACUCCUUUCAGCAGUUUUUGUAAGGCAGGUAUGGUGGUGAUGAACUCCAGCUUUUGUUUGCCUGGGAGCAUCUUAAUCUUUCUUUCAUUUCUGAAGGACAACUUUGCCAGCGUGCUGGAACUUCUCUGCUGGACUCUGCAGUUGCACAAAAGCACUCUUCUCGGGCAACUUUACUUUGAUGAUUUUCAAGGAAGCUGGGCUACGAAGUGGCAAAAGUCUCUAGGAAGCAGGAUGUCAGUGCCUCUGGGGAAACAGCUCUUUUUUACCGGCGUGGCGGCUAGCGGGGGCUGCGCCCUUUUGUACUACCUGAUACAGAAAACUUUUUCCAGGGCUUCCUAUUACCAGUUGGCGUUGGAGCAUCUGCACAGCCACCCUGAGGCACUGGAAGCUCUGGGCACUCCUCUCAACGUUCACUAUCUCCGACUCACCGACAAGUACAACUUUGUGGACAUUGCCGAUGCAAAGUUGAAGAUUCCUGUCUCUGGACCCAAGUCAGAGGGCUAUCUCUAUGUCACCUCAUCCAGAGAUGCCCCCUUUAAGAGGUGGAACCUUCAGGAGGUCUUCUUAGAGCUCAAGGAUGGCCAGCAGAUUCCCCUGUUCAAGCCCAGUGGGGAGAACAGCAAUGAGCUGAAAAAGGAGUGAAGUGUUUGCUGGAUUUUUUCUUGCUGUGGCCAAGCCACAGAAAACCAGGGCCUGAGUGGACCAUCUGUUCCGAAGUAAAAGCAAGUACAUUUCUCUCACAAGUUAUUAGAAAACUGGCUACUUUACAGUAAUGGAGAUAACCGAGAGAUAAUAAUUUUCAUGAAAACCGAUCAGUGUAUUGAAACUAAGAGAACAUUUUUAUGUAAAAAUGUUGUUAUACUAUUGCUGAUGACAUAUUUAGUAAAAAUAGUUUAGUUUUAGUAGAUAAAACUCACUUGUUUUAAUAAAAACUGUAAGAAUGAAUGCAAAGUCCUAAGAUUAUUCUGCCAUGUAAAAUGAACUGCUCCCCAAAGGACUGUGUCAGUAUUGGUUUGAAAUAGGAAAUAUCUCCUAUUUAGAAUAUGUUUAGAUUACAAGAGCCUGGCAGGGGGGUUGGCAAACUUAUUCUGUAAAGGGCCAGAGAGUAACUAUUUUAGGCUGAUUAGGCCAUAAGAUCUCUGUUGCAACUACUCAACCCUGCGGGUUUUCCCAUGAAGCGGCUGUAGACAAAUGUAAAUGAACAGGCUGUGUUCCAAGAAAGCUUCAUUUACCAAACACGCCACAAGGGCGUAAUGUGCUGACCUCUGUACCAGCCUAAUGUCAGGUUACCUAUCCUCCAGUCAUUAACAAAAAUUCAUCCACAAUCAAGCUACACAAAAAUAAUUUGAAAAAAAUGAUUAUUUAUGGACAUUAAUAUGUAGCCCAAGUGUAGACUCCACUGAGGUUAAAGCCCUGGAAAGCUCAACGAUUCUAUCCUCUGUUUUGCCAGCAGCUGCUAAGAUCCUGGGCAAACCACAUAUUCCCUCUGAGAUUCUAUUACCUCCUCUCUACUUUGAGAGAAUUAGAGGAGGGUAUGUUAUUCCUUCCCAAUUUUGUUACCAUGAAUUUCAAUUCAGCAGACUGACUUCCACUCUUACCAACAAAACUUUAGACCGAGACUUUAAAUGAAGAGCUUCAAAAGAAAAUAACACUCAUUUUUAUUUGAAUAAUUUAUAACAUAGGUCUGAUUAAGCACAGUGAGCUAAAACUGACCACUGGAGGAUUAGGAGUGUCAAAAACCAAAACUGAAAAACAAAGAGUAUCCAAAACAAUAGCAUCAAAUAACAAAAUACACAGGGAUAAAGUUCGCAAAGGAUGUACAAGGACUCUACACUGGAAGAUAUAACACAAUGCCGAGAAAAACUGAAAUCAACGAACGGGAAUACACACUAUGUUCAUAGACUGGAAGAACUGUUAAAAAGUCAGAUUGAUUGACAUGAAUCUCAAACAAAAUCCCACGAGGCUUUUUUAGGGGGUGAUUUUGGUAGAAGUUGACAAACCAACGCUAAAAUUUCUUCAGAAAUGCCAAGGACCUAGAAUAAACAACAAUCUCAAAAAUGAAGGAAUUGGAAGUCCUACUGUACUUGACAUCAGGACUUACAAAGUUCUGACAAAAAGAUAAGCAAAUAAAUUAAUGAAACAGAAGAGUGUGCAGCAGUAGAUCCACAGACAUACGGUCAGAUGAUUUUAGACAAGGACAGCAAAACAGUUCAAUGGGGAAAGGAAAAUCGGUCUGACAAAUGGUGCUGGAACAACUACAUAUUCAUACGGAAAACAAGGACACUUGACCCCACCUAACACCAAAGGGGACAAAAGUGUAAAGUGGAUCGCAGGCCUGAACAUAAAAGUUAAAACUAUAAAGCUUAAAAAAAACCUUCAUGACUUUGGGGUAGGUAAGGACUUCUUAAAGAGGGUACAGAAAGUAUUAACCAUAUAAAACAAAAAUUGAUGAAUUGGACUUCAUCGAAAUUACAGCUACCUUCUCAUCAAAAGACACUGUUGAGAAAACAGACAACCCACAGUCGGAAAAAAAUAUUUGUAACAUGUAAACCCUAUAAAGGACUUGUAUCCAGAAUAUAUAAAAGAUUAUCACAACUCACUAUCCAAUUAAUAAAAAGGGAGAAAAAGGACGACACAAAAAUGGUUCAACAAACACAUGAAAUAGUGUUUGUUCCUCAUUAGUCAUCAGGGAAUAGCAAAUUAAACCACCUUGUGAUACCACCACAUACCCAUGAGAGUGGCUAAAAUAAAAAGGAUGGCCAACACUAAAUGUGAAGCAAUGAGAACUUGCAUAUAUUGCUGGCAGGAAUGGUAAACAGUACAAUCGCUUUAGAAAUGGUUGGGCAUUUUCUUAAAAAGUUACAGAUCCAUCUCUCCCGUGGCCUAGAAAUUCUACUCCUAUUUAAUCUAAGAGAAAUGAAAACGUGUCCAAGAAAAUCCCUGGACAAGAAUAUCUGAACUUCCCUGGUGGCGCAGUGGUUAAGAAUCCACCUGCCAAUGCAGGGGACACAGGUUCAAGCCCUGGUCCGGGAAGAUCCCACAUGCCGCCGAGCAGCUAAGCCCGCGCACCACAACUACUGAGCCUGCGCACCACAACUACUGAAGCCUGCGUGCUCUAGGGCCCACAUGCCGCAACUACUGAGCCCGUGCUCCGCCGCAAAAGAAGCCACUGAAAUGAGAAGCCCGCGCACCGCAACUAGAGAAAAGCCUGCAUGCAGCAGCAGCAAUGAACACUCAAUGCAGCCAAAAAAAAAAAAAAAACCAAACUAAAACAACAGAAAAAAGAAUAUCUAUAGCAGCUUUAUUCAUAAGACACAAAACCUGCAACAGCCCUGGGGUCCGUGAACAGAGAUAUGGUUUUACAUAAGCUGGUGUGUUCAAACAGCACCACAUGGCAACAACAAGGAACACACUGCUGAUACAAGCACCAAUAUGUAUGAGUCUCAAAAUCACGCUAAGUGAAAGCCACAGCAGGGUGGACGUGCCAUGUAAUUCCCUCUAUCUGAAUACGUGCAUUUGUCAAGCUCGAGAGAGGCUGGUACGGAUUUAGAGCUUUACACUUCGUUACUUGUAAAUCAUAUCCCCUCCGACAAUAAAAGCAUAGUUGGCAAUUAAGGCUCUUGAGGUUAACGUUUUUAAUCCAGCUCUUUUAAUUCUGUAACAAAUUGAAGGUCCUAAGUGCUAAAUGAUCUUGAACAAUACUAUCGUAUUUUUAUCAGUCUAAUUCAGAUUUCUCCAAGUGUGAGCUUAAAAUGUAUUUAGGAUUUGUUUCUUGGUACCUUGAGAUGAUCUAUGUCGGUCGCAGGGAGCGAUGUUGCUCAGGCCUCCGUGGACGGAGCCGCACAGCAUUCACCUCGUGUCCAACAGUCUCUAAGCGACCUCUUCUCUCCUACACUUUCUUCCAAACUGAGGUCUGUUGGAAAAGUUUAAGAUACAGCACAAUUAGCAUCUGAUGUGCCUCUGUAACUAUGAGAGAAAGCCAUAUUCUCCUACUUUUCAUGUGAAAACAACAAAAUGAAACAUUAAAACACAAUUUCCCAGUUGACUAAAACCACUUACAUUUUGCGUAUUUCAUAACUUCUCAUCAAGCUAAAAUAUUAUAAUGUUGAAUUUUAUUAUAAUUAAAACUGGAGUUCUAAAUUGCAUGGAUAUGAAUAGUUUAGUCCAUUGUAAACAAGUGAAAAGAAAAAUUAACAGAGCUAGUUGGUUAGUAAUUAACAGAAAGUUUUGGUCCAAUACUGUGAAGACUCUUUAUGCUCUAUUUAUAUGACAGACACCAAAAAAUGUCAAUAUAUCCCUUUACCAGUGCAAGUGCUUCCAAAAAAGCAGUGUACAAAUUCUAAAUUCAAGGCACCAAGAGCAGCUAAGGACAGCUGCACACUGCAAAUGGCAAAGUGGCCAUAAAAGAAAACACGUCUAUUUUUCUUUUCUUUUACAGAUACAGCAAUUACAUUAAAUGUAUUAUGAAUACAGUAUAAAAAAUGGCUUGGAAAAAGUCUAACUGUUGUCCACAUGAUUAUGAUUUUAAAACUGAAUAAAUCCAUCAAGUAUAAAAAUGUGUCAUUCAAAUAGUGGAUAUUUUUUUUCUCACCUCCCUCCUAUUUUUGUCAGAGGUAUUUAUAAAAAUUUGCCUAAAAUUGUAUUUUACCUCUUUUCAAGACUUACCUGAGGCUUUAGCAUUGUGGCCGUGGGUUUUCAUUGAAAAUUGCCACUGUAGCAGAAUUUCCUCUUCCUCUUUAUAGAGCUUGUUUAGAAAUGCUCGUUUCCAAGAAACUGUAUAAAUCAAUAGGCCAGUUUAGUGAGAAAACAGUGCAAACCGAGGGUUCGAACUGCCUUAUCAAUUUCACCUGAUGGUGUCGGAACAACACAGGGCCUGCGACACUUGCAGGGCAGGGCUGGGAGCUCGUGCAGACCACGCAUGGGAAAGUCCAGCCCAGUACCCUACACACACUUGAAAACAGAUGGUUAGGGGUUCCCAUGGUCCUGAGGCUGACAUCUGAGCAACCAGGCUGGGAAGAAAGCACCACGUGACACCCUAGCGGACUGCGAAGGGAUGCGUCUGAGUAGCUCACGGUACAGAGCACACGCUGUGUGCACACAAGUCACAGACAAGUUGUGUUCACCCGAUACAAGCACCUAAUACAAGACUGUCUGCACUGUCCUAAAGUAUAUGAAGUAACUACAAUCAGCUCCUCUGUGACGACGGAUUCCUCGGUUUCCGGCUUCUGAGUAUCUGAAUGGCUUUCAGGCACAGGAUCGCCUUCCUGGAGGGCCUGUGCCUCUUCUAAUGCUCCUUUCACCUUGAGAGAAGGUUCCUGAACACUGCUCUGCGUUAGCCAUGGAUGUUUCAGACACUCCUCAGCAGUGGCGCGAUCUCUGGAUAAAGAUACACAUUUUACAAUUAGGACAAAGUAGUUUAAAGCCUCAACUUAACUUAGAGCAUAAGGUAUUAUAUUUUGGGACGCAUGAACCACAAAGAUCUUACUGUGGUUCCUGAAUAAAACAAAGUUUCAGCAUUUGCAUGCAAAUGCCGUCCCCACAA